AGUGUGAACGAGCCUAUCAGGGCAGUUCUGAUAAUUACUGACAGGUGUGUGAUUGCAUGAGCGAGUCAACAGGUGAAAUCAACUUGCCUGAUCAAGUCCAGCUCAGCUGUAUGCUACUCCACUCUGAGGGCUGGUGUACAUACAUCAUUAUAACCUAUCAACAACUUGUUWGUUUCUUCGGGAGUCAUUCAAAAAGCCCCACUCUUGGUCCCAUUUGAUAGUUAGGCCUACCAAUUGUUAAGUAAAUGCUKUUUUCYUWUCURUGWGUGAUUUCCCAGCCAGCAGAUUUCAGAUCAUGUACAGUAUAUAUUARCUGGUGACAGAUGCAGAGGCAGUGAGAACUCUUAGUGUGUAUUUUCUCUCCUACACAGCGACAWUAUGCAUCACAUUGUAAAAGUAUUAGGUGUCAAGGUGCUAGARGUAAUUUGGAUUGAAUGAAAGGAAACAAGGUCAUUGCUUUUCACCGUCAGACGUAGGAACUCGCCACUUCCUCUAGAGAUGAAUCAGAUCAAAGACAAUAUGAGUUAUAGUGAAACUCGCAUGCAUUGCUCAUGUUUAUGCUCGAUCAGGAGCUGAGAGCACAGCACAUCAACCAAUAUGAGUCCAAGUGCAGCUAAAAGUCACAGGAGCUUAUAUAAGGGGGGACACUGCUAUUGGCUUCUGGUUAUAACAUUUAUGUUUCAACCUAAUAUCUCAAACAAACAGAUGUUUGUUGAGAAACGACUGAGCAUAAAAUGGGAGGUUGAGAGAACAUUGUAGGCACACAGAUGAUAUCUGUGAUCUCAAACUCAUCUCCUCUUUUUGAAAAAUGCUGUUUGAAAUGUUAUUUCUAAAGGUUAUUUGACAUUGACAUUUCAAUCAUAUAUAUAUAUUUAAUUCAAAUCAAACUAAAUGUAGGUUCCACCGAAUAAAUAACCAGUUGGACUACCCUGUGAAGGUAGAAAUAAGAACAACUGCCUCCGGAUUCCAUGUACAUCGACUCAUUAUCAGUUCUGAAACUAUAGUAGGCAUGAAACAAGCUUCUACUGUAGCUUCUUGAGUUUGUGAGACUUGGGGACAAAACCACAUCCUGUUCUAUGUUGAGCUUGACACGGUUGUUGGAAAACCACAUGACACGUUUCACAGCCAGCUAACUCAUUGCAAGAAAGCGUUGGGUAAAGUACAGUGGCGUCACCAGUUGACACAUUUAGUGACUGUCCUUUUUAUCAAUGCUUCACUAGUGGCGGUUGGACUUACCCACAAUAACAGAAAGUCAGAUACAGCAAGUAUAUGAAUGUUGAUAGUGCUACUCAGUGAUCUCAUGUCUGUCUACCUGUCUGUCUGCCUGUCUGUCUGUAGCUAACUCCAGUGGUCCUGGUAUUCCUGUAGAGCCUGCACCUCCUUCCUUCGCUCCAGCUGAGCUCAAGUUCCCCACGGAGUGCAACAGCCAUUGGAGCCUGGACCAGAAAGCCACUGAGCCACUCUUCAUCAACACAGCUGUUAUUCAGGUAAACGGCUAUACSUCAGACUGUGAAGUUGAGGCCGAUYGCYCCACRAUAACAAUGACAACAUCAGAGCMWUUCAGCCAAUCGGAUCACAGUAAUGGAAUGAGAGGAAAUGACAUCAGACCCUCCCGCUACCUAUCAGAGCCACAGGAAGAUGAGUGGCCAGGGACUUAAUUCUGAUUUUCAACUAAAUAUUAUUUUUUAAAUUACUUUUUUUUCAAAGAAUAAAACCUACAUGGGAAAAUAACUGAGCAGAUUCUUCCUUGACAGUUCCUGGAUACAAUCCCUUUUUUUUUUUUAAGUCUCAUCCAUGCAAUAUAAAUAUACUGAACUAUAAACAUCCAAUGAACAUUCUUUGUUUCUUAGGUCAUUGAAAAAACUGUUGGGGAGGGCUUAAAUAAAGUGUAACCACUGAGGUCAAA